rnacentral:rRNA from 1 species
GACGAACGCUGGCGGCGUGCUCAACACAUGCAAGUCGAACGAAGUGGCGAACGGGUGAGUAACGCGUAAUCAACCUGCCCUUCAGAGGGGGACAACAGUUGGAAACGACUGCUACUACCGCAUACUGAAGGAGGGGAUUGAGUCUGAUUAGCUAGUUGGAGGGGUAACGGCCCACCAAGGCUAUGAUCAGUAGCCGUUCUGAGAGUAUGAACGGCCACAUGGGGACUGAGCAACGGCCCAGACUCCUACGGGAGGCAGCAGUGGGGAAUCUUCCGCAAUGGACGAAAGUCUGACGGAGCAACGCCGCGUGAGUGAUGACGGCCUUCGGGUUGUAAAGCUCUGUUAAUCGGGACGCGGUACCGGAAUAGAAAGCCACGGCUAACUACGUGCCAGCAGCCGCGGUAAUUC